rnacentral:rRNA from 1 species
UACGGAGGGUGCGAGCGUUGUUCGGAAUCACUGGGCGUAAAGGGCGUGUAGGCGGUCCGCUAAGUCGAACGUGAAAUCCCCGAGCUCAACUCGGGAACUGCGUCCGAUACUGGCGGGCUUGAGUAUGGCAGAGGGGGGUGGAAUUCCGCGUGUAGCAGUGAAAUGCGUAGAGAUGCGGAGGAACACCGAUGGCGAAGGCAGCCCCCUGGGCCAAUACUGACGCUCAGGCACGAAAGCGUGGGGAGCAAACAGG